ACCCCAACCACCAAAAGUACUACUAUGAUUCGGAAUGAAGCAGAGCUAAGAUCAUUCAUCAAUCACAUGGUUGAGAAUGUCCAAAAAGGUUUGAAGACAAACUCCAUAUUCACAAAGGUUGGCUGGGACAACAUUACAAAAGGGCUUGAAGCCGAAUUCAAACGGCCCUUUGCUAACGAGCAACUCUGUAACAAGAUGAAUAAGUUACGUAAGGAGUACAAUAACUUAAAGUCUUUGUUAGAAACAACUGAUUCUAGAUGGGAUGCGAAUGAUUAGACUGCCACAGCUGAGGAUUCAGUGUGGGAAUCUGCUAUUCAGGGAAACAAAGAUUAUGCAAAGUAUUGAAGAAAUGGUCUCCCCUAGUGGCCAGAGUUGUUAGAGAUCUUCUCUAACUAUAGUGCCCAUGGGGAUAGAGGUCUGUCACAGGCAACUGCUGUAACUCCUACAUCCACUGACCCUAAAAUUGAUGAUGAUUUACAGGACACUAAUAAUGAUGAUAGUGAUGCUAGUACUGGGACACCCAAGGGGUUAGCUCCUCUGAAGCGGCGACUUUAUAGGAUUCCUAUGGAUCGUAGGAGGAAGAGCCAGACAUGGACCCUCACGAACUCCGCUGAGGACUUUAGAACCUUUGUUCGAUGGAGGAUGGAAAAUGGAUCCACCUCUGCCACCUCAAUGGUUGUCCGACCUUUUGACCCUAUUGUUGAUGGACCAUAUAGCAUGAUGAGUUGUCAGAAGCUACUGGACAGUUUAGAGGAUAUCCCGACGUAUUUGUAUGUGUUGGCACAACGUAAGAUACACAGUGACCCUCGAUGGUGCAUGUCUUUUGUUGAAGUGAGACCUGACAGGAGGUUAUGGAUGUUAUAUGGUCUGAAGGAGUGAAAGUAACAGUUUCUUAAAUAAUUGGUUUUAAGGGAGACUGAAUGAAUUGUUAGUUUGUUUGAAUUUUAUAUGCCUCGUACUGACUGACACACUUAUUAUGUUUCACCUACUAUGAAUGAUGUUGAUGUUUAACUUAUGCAGCUUUGUUAUAA